rnacentral:rRNA from 1 species
UGGGGAUGCGUUCCAUUAGGCAGUUGGUGAGGUAACGGCUCACCAAACCUUCGAUGGAUAGGGGUUCUGAGAGGAAGGUCCCCCACAUUGGAACUGAGACACGGUCCAAACUCCUACGGGAGGCAGCAGUGAGGAAUAUUGGUCAAUGGGCGCGGGUCUGAACCAGCCAAGUAGCGUGAAGGAUGACUGCCCUAUGGGUUGUAAACUUCUUUUAUAUGGGAAUAAAGUUUUCCACGUGUGGAAUUUUGUAUGUACCAUAUGAAUAAGGAUCGGCUAACUCCGUGCCAGCAGCCGCGGUAAUACGGAGGAUCCGAGCGUUAUCCGGAUUUAUUGGGUUUAAAGGGAGCGUAGGUGGACAGUUAAGUCAGUUGUGAAAGUUUGCGGCUCAACCGUAAAAUUGCAGUUGAUACUGGCUGUCUUGAGUACAGUAGAGGUGGGCGGAAUUCGUGGUGUAGCGGUGAAAUGCUUAGAUAUCACGAAGAACUCCGAUUGCGAAGGCAGCUCACUGGACUGCAACUGACACUGAUGCUCGAAAGUGUGGGUAUCAAACAGGAUUAGAUACCCUGGUAGUCCACACAGUAAACGAUGAAUACUCGCUGUUUGCGAUAUACAGUAAGCGGCCAAGCGAAAGCAUUAAGUAUUCCACCUGGGGAGUACGCCGGCAACGGUGAAACUCAAAGGAAUUGACGGGGGCCCGCACAAGCGGAGGAACAUGUGGUUUAAUUCGAUGAUACGCGAGGAACCUUACCCGGGCUUAAAUUGCAUUUGAAUA